UACAGAGGGGGCAAGCGUUGUUCGGAAUUACUGGGCGUAAAGGGCGCGUAGGCGGCCUUCUAAGUCGAACGUGAAAUCCCCGGGCUCAACCCGGGAACUGCGUCCGAGACUGGAAGGCUCGAAUCCGGGAGAGGGAUGUGGAAUUCCAGGUGUAGCGGUGAAAUGCGUAGAUAUCUGGAGGAACACCGGUGGCGAAGGCGGCAUCCUGGACCGAUAUUGACGCUGAUGCGCGAAAGCCAGGGGAGCAAACGGG
rnacentral:rRNA from 1 species